UACGUAGGGCGCGAGCGUUUAUCCGGAAUUAUUGGGCGUAAAGAGCUCGUAGGCGGUUUGUCACGUCUGCUGUGAAAACUGGAGGCUCAACCUCCAGCCUGCAGUGGGUACGGGCAGACUAGAGUGCGGUAGGGGAGAUUGGAAUUCCGUGGUGUAGCGGUGAAAUGCGCAGAUAUCAGGAGGAACACCGGUGGCGAAGGCGGGUCUCUGGGCCGAUACUGACGCUGAGGAGCGAAGCGUGGGGAGCGAACAGG
rnacentral:rRNA from 1 species